UAUAUAUAUAUAUAUAUAUAUAUAUAUAUAUAUAUAUAUAUAUAUAUAUAUAAACAUGAGUGGUGCUUGCCUGUGCAAACCUUGUCGCUAGGGUGUUGUGGGUGGUUGCCACAGUGUUGCUAUGCAGUUGCUAAGGUAUUCUGACCAUUUUUAGAGUGUUUCUGUGCAGUUGCUAGGGUGUGCUGAGUGUUUACCACAGCGUUGCUAUGAAGUUACUAAGGUGUUCUGAACAUUUUCAGCGUGUUGCUAUGCAGUUGCUAGGGUGUGCUGGGUGGUUCCCACACCAUUGCUAUGCAUUUGCUAAGGUGUUCUAAAUGUUUUAGCAUGUUGCUAUGGAGUUGCUAGGGUGUGCUGUGUGGUUGUCACAGCAUUGCUAUGCAGUUGUUAAGGUGCUCUAAAUGCUUUUUAGCCUGUUUUACUUGUUAGUGGUAGUGUUGGGUGGCUGCCACAUCAUUGCUAUGCUGUUACUAAGGUGUUCUGUAUUGUUUUCUAGUGUGUUGCUAUAUGGUUGCUAGGGUGUGUUGAGUGGUUCCAAGAAUGUUGCUAUGUAGUUGCUAAGGUGUUCUGAAAAUUUUUAGCAUUUUGCUAUUUGGUUGCUAGGGUGUGCUGGGUGUUUACCACAACGUAGCUAUGCAGUUGCUAAUGUGUUUUGAACAGUUUUAGCACGUUGCUAUGCAGUUGCUAGGGUGUGCUGAGUGUUUACCACUGCAUUGCUAUGCAGUUACUAAGGUGUUUUGAGCAUUUUCAUCGUGUUGCUAUGCAGUUGCCAGUGUGUGCUGGGUGGUUCCCACACCAUAGCAAUGCAUUUGCUAAGGUGUUCUAUUCUUUUUUUGCAUGUUGCUAUGGGGUUGCUACGUUAUGCAGUGUGGUUAUCACAGCACUGCUGUUCAGUUGUUAAGGUGCUCUAAACGGUUUUUAGCCAUGUUGUGUGGUUGCUAGGUUGUGUUGGGUAGUUGCCACAACAUUGCUGUGCAGUUGCUAAGGUGUUCUGAGCAUUUUUUUUUGUGUGUGUGUGUGUGUGUGUGUGUGUGUGUGUGUGUUGCUCUGCAAUUGUUAGGGUGUGCUGUGUGGUUGCUAGGGCAUUGCUAGGUGGUUGCUUUCGAGCCCAAAUAAAAAAAAAAAAAACAAUUCUACCUCACAUCUUUAGUGUUCCACAGAGGAAAGUCAAAUGGAUUUGUCACAACAUAAAGGUAUUAUUCUCGCAGAAGAAUCAGUCUUGUGGCCUGACUUGAACCAUUUUCCUCAGUCCGCAGCAUUGACAGCUACUUGGAAAGAUUUGUGCUACUCAGAAACAAUUAUAGUUCAUAAAUGCAUCAGUGGGAAGGAACUGCAGGGAUGAAAGCGCAAAGCCUCUUAUUUGAGUUUCACAGCAAUCUCAGAUGCCUUUUAUCAUAAGCUUAGAGACUGACCAGAUUUCGUGACGUGGACUCUUUAAGUUAUUGGAUAUUCUUUUGUUGCCUCCGCCACCAUGUAGUCAGUGUGUUUGUGGUCCAGACCAAAGCUGUGCACUUUAUAAUUGGUUUAAGUUGAAUGAGACCAGCUGUGCAAUAAAGCAGCAAAGCCGUGUGAAGGAACCCACAGAACCGGCCGUCCAUAGAUCCUUCUGGGUCACGAUCCAGAGAGCGCAAGGGAAGUUUCAGAAAAGAAUUUCACAUCUGUGCCAAAUGUCAUGUUUUAAGUGUUUGAAAUGUAUUCUGUUGUGCUGUUUAAUUACUGUACUUGCUAUACAGAUGGGAAAUUUUGUACAAGAAAUAUCUUUUUAAAUUAAACAAGAUACUAUACAGUUUGA